rnacentral:rRNA from 1 species
GACGAACGCUGGCGGCGUGCCUAACACAUGCAAGUCGAACGGAACUGUUUUGAAAGAUUUCUUCGGAAUGAAUUUGAUUUAGUUUAGUGGCGGACGGGUGAGUAACGCGUGAGUAACCUGCCUUCAAGAGGGGGAUAACAUUCUGAAAAGAAUGCUAAUACCGCAUGACAUAUCGGAAUCACAUGGUUUUGAUAUCAAAGAUUUUAUCGCUUGAAGAUGGACUCGCGUCCGAUUAGUUAGUUGGUGAGGUAACGGCUCACCAAGACCGCGAUCGGUAGCCGGACUGAGAGGUUGAACGGCCGCAUUGGGACUGAGACACGGCCCAGACUCCUACGGGAGGCAGCAGUGGGGGAUAUUGCGCAAUGGGGGCAACCCUGACGCAGCAACGCCGCGUGAAGGAUGAAGGUUUUCGGAUUGUAAACUUCUUUUAUUAAGGACGAAAAAUGACGGUACU